GACUAGUGCGCUUGAUGGGCUCCUUUGGCCUUUAAAUCACGCCGCUGGGCGCUGUUCAUGGCGUUGCCUGAGCCGGGGUUGGGUCAGACCGGGUGCGGAGCGCGGCCAGGGCGGUCCCUUCCCCGUGGCGUCCGUGCGGAGCACGGGGAGGCUGCGAUGGACGGCGACACAGGAGUCGCAGCUGGAAAGGGUUCACUUAUGGACUUUUAUGCUCAAUAAAAGAUGAAUUGCCUAAAAGACA